AUAAACUAAUGAUAUUUAAUGCUGAGAGGGCGAGCGGAUACAUUCUUACUUCUCGGUGACUCCCGGCAGGAUGAAGAACAUCCAGAAGUGGAUGCCGAAGACUAGGAAGACCUGGAAGAUGACCUUGCCCAUGACAGACUUGCGCAAGUAGAGGGCCCGGUCCACUACCAUAGUCCCGAACUGGAUGAGGACCAUCACCAAAAAAGGUCCGGGGACCUGAUCCUCUGAAAGGGACGAAGUGAUGUCUGCCGCCGAGUGUUUCUACAAGACAACAGAUCAGGAUGGAAAUUUGUGCUUUCCAGCAGCUUCCUCCUACAACCCCCGGAAGUGUCCCAGUCAAGAAUCUGUCCAUUUCGACUGUCCAUGGAUCAUUACGAUCGGAAAUAACUUUUGAACGGCAAGUCAUACCUGGAUAACAUUGACUUUAACCCUGACAUUCUUAUGGGUAAGCUGUCAGAGCCAGGAAUCAAGCUGAUUUGACAUUCCAUGAGUUGCUACAGUUGGAACUACCUGUAAUUCUUGAAUGGAAGGUCAUACACGUAAAUUUGACUUCUACCCCCUAAUUCAUAGAGUUACCUUUCCAACUGUACCAUCUAUAUCAUUUUAUGUUGUUUGGAAGUGUCCAUGCUGGGAUUUGGGUUGUUUCGACUGUACACUGGUCUUUUGGAAAUACAUUUUGAACUAAGAGUCUUACAGAGAUGAAUUUCAACCACUACAUUUGUAAUCAGACUGUUUUGACUGUCCUUCAUUAUAGUUGGAAAUAACUUUUAAAAAUAUAACCACAUUGGGAUCAAUUUUACUUCUACCCCAACAUUCUUAGGUUACCUUUCCAAAGGUACUACACGUAUCCUUCUACGUUGUCGAGUUGUUGUUGUUGUGUCUGAGCUGGGAAUCCUGCUGUUUUGGUGGUCCCCGGAUCAUUAUUGUUAGAAAUAACUUUUAAACAGAAAAUCUGAUCUGGCUAAAUUCAACUUUGACUCCCACAUUUAUAGGGGUGAGCUUUCCAACCAUACCACUCGCCCUUCAAUGUUGUGGGGAGGAGCCCGAGCCAGGAAUUGGGCUGCUUUGACAGUCCUUGGAUCAUUAAAGUUGGAUAUAACUUUUGAACUGAAAGCCAACAAUUGAACUUGACCCCCACAUUUCUAGGGGUGAGCUUUUAAGCAGAACCUACAUCUCUUUAUGCUGUCUGGAAGUGUCAAAGUCAGGAAUAAGACUCUAUUGGUGGUCCACGACUCACUACAGUUGAAAAUAAUUCCUUAAGAGAAACUCACACCCAGUGUACAGGUGACACCUACACCAAAAGCCCAGAAGCCAAAGACGAUGAUAAUGAAGUCAACAGUGUCGGCGAGGAACAUGAGCACAUAGACGUCGGUCACAGCGCUGUACUCGGGAUGGAUGAGGUCGUAAAAGAACUGACGCAUGGGCUCUGGCCUUGAAGAGCUGCUCCUUCAGCUUCUCCAGG